CUCCUAGCUGACAUCCCCCAGCUACAGCACCUCCUGCUCCUUUGCUUUCUGGAUCCUACAGUCACGGGUGAGAGAAGAAUAGAGUUGGAUCGAAAAUCAGGAAGAAAAGUUGAGAAAGAAACCUAUGCAUAGCCGUCCUCAGGGAAGGGCCAUGCUAUCGCCCAGAGCUUUGUGAGCUUCUGUCAGCUUGACUGAUUCUCCUCCCACGAGCUGCUUCAGCAUCUCAAAAGGCCAGAGCCCUGACAAGCACGUAGAAGGUGUUCCUGCGAUCUGUUUUACAGAUGCAUGCUUCCUGCCAGAUCCUAGUGCGUGCUUUAGCUUGUGUUCUUCACUGGGUUUCCUCGGGAGAAGGGCCUCAGGGAUUCGAGGACACAGAGUGGUAGCAGAGUAACCAUAACAGCAGAGGCUCAAUGGGAACGCAGAUAUCUCAGUGGAUACCAGAGAGCACAAGUGAUGGGGACAACCAAAUGGGAUGAGCUACCGUCAUAUAAAGUUGGACCGUGAAGGCGGGUCACUCUUCAUUAUUUCUUACCACUGUCCAGCAACGCCACAAUUUGUUCGCGUGUAAGAUCGUUUUUAUUCCUGACUUCGUAUUUCAAGUUUGUGAAUGUUUCUCGGAGGUUCGCCGCAUCCACAUCUGUACCAGACCGAGACGGCAUUCCUGGAAAACAGAAAGGAUUACUUAAAUUGCAUUAAAAAGAAAAAAAGAGUAAUGGCUCUGAAUGAAUUAUUCAGUGCAAUAAAUUCUUCUUUUCAGCUGUUAAGAAAAUUCAGUUACUCUGAUCAUCGGUAACACUAAGUCUCUUUAGUUUCUUGGCAUAUAAGACACUUCAUAAUACAAGCUGUAUCAGUGUUAUGGUCAUAAGGAGAUCUUUCACAGCUGUUUAGUAAAAAACACAACUGAAAUGCUUAAUGGGAGAACUUUGGUUAAAUAAAUUAUGAUUCAUUUAUA